AGUUUGAUCAUGGCUCAGGACGAACGCUGGCGGCGUGCUUAACACAUGCAAGUCGAGCGGUAAGGCUCCUUCGGGAGUACACGAGCGGCGAACGGGUGAGUAACACGUGAGCAAUCUGCCCUUCACAUCGGAAUAACCAUUGGAAACGAUGGCUAAUACCGAAUACGACAACGGAUCGCAUGAUCUGUUGUGGAAAGCUCCGGCGGUGAAGGAUGAGCUCGCGGCCUAUCAGCUUGUUGGUGAGGUAAUAGCUCACCAAGGCGAUGACGGGUAGCCGGCCUGAGAGGGUGACCGGCCACACUGGGACUGAGACACGGCCCAGACUCCUACGGGAGGCAGCAGUGGGGAAUAUUGGACAAUGGGCGAAAGCCUGAUCCAGCAACGCCGCGUGAGGGAUGACGGCCUUCGGGUUNGUAAACCUCUUUCAGCGGGGACGAAGCGACGUGACGGUACC
rnacentral:rRNA from 1 species